rnacentral:misc_RNA from 1 species
GAUGAAGAACGUAGCGAAAUGCGAUAAGUAAUGUGAAUUGCAGAAUUCAGUGAAUCAUCGAAUCUUUGAACGCACAUUGCGCCCCUUGGUAUUCCGAGGGGCAUGCCUGUUCGAGCGUCAUUAUAACCCUCAAGCUCAGCUUGGUGUUGGGGCCUGCUGCAGUGGCAGCCCUUAAAAUCAGUGGCGGCGCCAUCUGGCUCUAAGCGUAGUAAUUCUUCUCGCUAUGGAGUCCUGGUGGAUGCUUGCCAUCAACCCCCAAUUUUUCUAUGGUUGACCUCCGAUCAGGUAGGGAUACCCGCUGAACUUAAGCAUAUCAAUAAGCGGAGGA